CCUAGGGAGGCAGCAGUCGGGAAUAUUGCGCAAUGGAGGAAACUCUGACGCAGUGACGCCGCGUGCAGGAAGAAGGUUUUCGGAUUGUAAACUGCUUUAGACAGGGAAGAAAAAAGACAGUACCUGUAGAAUAAGCUCCGGCUAACUACGUGCCAGCAGCCGCGGUAAUACGGAGGAUGCGAGCGUUAUCCGGAUUUAUUGGGUUUAAAGGGUGCGUAGGCGGAUUUUUAAGUCAGCGGUAAAAUGUCCGGGCUCAACCCGGGCCGGCCGUUGAAACUGGGGAUCUUGAGUGGGCGAGAAGUAUGCGGAAUGCGUGGUGUAGCGGUGAAAUGCAUAGAUAUCACGCAGAACUCCGAUUGCGAAGGCAGCAUACCGGCGCCCGACUGACGCUGAGGCACGAAAGCGUGGGGAUCGAACAGGAUUAGAUACCCGAGUAGUC
rnacentral:rRNA from 1 species